rnacentral:rRNA from 1 species
GAUGAACGCUGGCGGCGUGCUUAACACAUGCAAGUCGAACGAAGAUGCCGGAGUGCUUGCACUUUGGCAGACUGAGUGGCGGACGGGUGAGUAACGCGUGGGUAACCCGCCUUAUACAGGGGGAUAACAGUUGGAAACGACUGCUAAUACCGCAUAAGCGCACGGUAUCGCAUGAUACAGUGUGAAAAACUCCGGUGGUAUAAGAUAGACCCGCGUCUGAUUAGCUUGUUGGUUGAGGUUAAACGGGCCCCACCAAGGCGACGAUCAGUAGCCGGCCUGAGAGGGUGAACGGCCACAUUGGGACUGAGACACGGCCCAGACUCCUACGGGAGGCAGCAGUGGGGAAUAUUGCACAAUGGGGGAAACCCUGAUGCAGCGACGCCGCGUGGAGGAAGAAGGUCUUCGGAUUGUAAACUCCUGUUGUUGGGGAAGAUAAUGACGGUACCCAACAAGGAAGUGACGGCUAACUACGUG